rnacentral:misc_RNA from 1 species
CGCAAAUUUUCUCGGGAAAAUAUUCGUCUUUUUAAGUAGGUGAAGGAGGUGUGACUAGUUCUAUUUAGAUCUGUGAAACUUGACUUCGCUUUUUCGUAGCUGGAACUAAAUGAAGCUGUUGUUUCUAAUGGGUUAGUUUUCAAUCAGUUGUACAAAGUAUGUGCUGUGGAUGGGAGCGGUUGAAGCUCACACCAACUAGGAUACUGCCUCUGAUUUCUUCUGAAGAAAGUAGACCAACCAACAUAGACAUGAAUCACAUAUCUGUCGAGACUGAAGAUACUUUUGCAAGCUUACUUGAGCUUGCAGCCAACAAUGAUGCUGAGGGCUUUAAGAGAUCAAAGAGAUCAAUUGAGCGUGACCCUGUGUGUGUUGAUGAGAUUGGAAUAUGGUAUAGUCGUCAGAAAGGCUCCAAGCAGAUGGUUAACCAGCAUAGAACCCCAUUGAUGGUCGCCGCAACUUAUGGUGCUGUUGAUGUUAUAAGGAUCAUUCUUUCUCUUUCAGAUGCUGAUGUCAAUCGAUCUUGUGGCCUAGAUAAGAGCACUGCCCUUCAUUGUGCUGCCUCAGGUGGGGCAGUGAAUGCUGUUGAUGCUGUGAAACUGCUUUUAGCAGC